GGCCAGGUAGCUCAGUUGGUAGAGCAAUGGACUGAAAAUCCAUGUGUCGGGGGUUCGACUCCCUCUCUGGCCACCA
rnacentral:tRNA from 1 species